UACGAAGGGGGCAAGCGUUGUUCGGAUUUACUGGGCGUAAAGGGCGCGUAGGCGGAUGCGUAAGUCAGAGGUGAAAGCCCUGGGCUCAACCCGGGAAUUGCCUUUGAGACUGCGUGUCUUGAGUAUGGGAGAGGGUGGCGGAAUACCCAGUGUAGAGGUGAAAUUCGUAGAUAUUGGGUAGAACACCAGUGGCGAAGGCGGCCACCUGGCCCAUAACUGACGCUGAGGCGCGAAAGCGUGGGGAGCAAACAGGAUUAGAUACCCUGGUAGUCCACGCCGUAAACGAUGUGUGCUAGCCGUUGGUGGCCCUUGAGGUCGUCGGUGGCGCAGCUAACGCGAUAAGCACACCGCCUGGGGAGUACGGCCGCAAGGUUAAA
rnacentral:rRNA from 1 species